rnacentral:rRNA from 1 species
UUUUAUGGAGAGUUUGAUCCUGGCUCAGGAUGAACGCUGGCGGCGUGCCUAAUACAUGCAAGUCGAGCGAACGGACGAGAAGCUUGCUUCUCUGAUGUUAGCGGCGGACGGGUGAGUAACACGUGGAUAACCUACCUAUAAGACUGGGAUAACUUCGGGAAACCGGAGCUAAUACCGGAUAAUAUUUUGAACCGCAUGGUUCAAAAGUGAAAGACGGUCUUGCUGUCACUUAUAGAUGGAUCCGCGCUGCAUUAGCUAGUUGGUAAGGUAACGGCUUACCAAGGCAACGAUGCAUAGCCGACCUGAGAGGGUGAUCGGC